rnacentral:rRNA from 1 species
GGACUACUGGGGUAUCUAAUCCCGUUCGCUCCCCUGGCUUUCGCACCUGAGCGUCAGAAGCUUCCCAGGACACUGCCUUCGCCUUCGGUGUUCCUCCGGAUCUCUACGCAUUUCACCACUCCACCCGGAAUUCCGUGUCCCUCUGAAGUUCUCAAGUCAGCCAGUUUUCAGCAUCCUUUCCCGGUUGAGCCGGAAACUGUCACGCCAAACUUGGCCGACCGCCUGCGUGCGCUUUACGCCCAGUAACUCCGGACAACGCUCGCCUCCUACGUAUUACCGCGGCUGCUGGCAC